AAUAUCAAACCAGAUAUAUAUAGCAUAGCCAACUAACUGUUUCAUAUUUACAUGCAUUUAUGGACAAUAUUUCCGUUGUACAAAGGUUAAUAAAACAUCUGCUACAGGGUUGCAGAACAAUGCAUAAAAUGACACAUUCUUUAUAUCCUUUACACUAAUCUAUUUACAUAUGUACUAUUUACAUAUUAACAAUAUGUAAUGCAACUAAACUACAAUGCUGCAAUUAGUCUCCAAGUUUUGCAGGAUAUGACAAUAAUAUUAGCACUUGUAGAAAUCAUUUCUUCGCAUUAGCCCAACUCAAUUCUUGUCACAUAAUGUAGCCAGGGUGGGGAACUUGCAGCAAACAACAAAUAUAGAAUUUGGUAAAGUUGAGAAGAAAAGCGUCGUGUUAUGCAGUAAAAUUACCAUGUAAGUCAAAAUUUGCAAAAGGUAAGAAAUGAAAAUAAAAUGUCAAAAGCUAAUCAAAUAACUUACCGGUGAUGUGUGGCUUUGGCCGGUUAAGUAAAGAUUAGAAAAAUAGUGUGGAAGAUAAAAGAUUGAUCGCGUUUCAAGUAUUCGCCUUACAGCCUUAGUUUGGUCAGCAACAGCUUAAAAUAUUACAUCUUAAUAAGUCAUAUAUUUUCUUUGAUCAGUUAAAAAGUUGCAUGUUCUGGAGGAUACCUAAAAGAAAUCGAGAGCAGAGAUCUCUAAUAAAGAGGAUGCCCAUAUGAUAAUCUAGAUUAGUGUGUAGGAUCCAGUAAAAAUUACAAUAUCAGUUUAGCAUAGUUUCUUCCAAGUUAGAAAAGAAAGAAAAGAUGGGAGGGACUCUGGACAAGAAAUUUCUCAUCAAGCAACUUCAUAGAGGAUAGCGAACUGGAAGUAAAAUUUAUUAUUCUCUGAAAAUUGUUCAUUCAAUGAUUAUACAUCGGCAUAUUUUUAUCUAUAAUUAAUAUUCGCAGAAUCAGUACACUACUCAAUGAAUAAAUUGAUUAAUAAAGUUUUAAUAAUAAAAUAAUAAAAAAUAAUAGUAGUACAAUAUUCACUUUACUUAAAGUGUAAGAAAGUUACUUUACGAAAAGUUUAGUCAUUUACCGUUUAGUAUAAGUAUCGAUUCGUUUCAUGCAAAUGAUUAAGCAUUUGACAGUCUGGCCAUAAUAUCAUACCAAACUCUCCAAAGCUUGCACCUUAUUCUCUUCAAGUCAUAACAUCAUACCAAACUCUCUAAAGCUUGCACCUUAUUCUCUUCAAGUCAACUACUGUUAAACUCAAGAAAAAUUGACCUUAACAUAAUGUAAGUAAUUGAAGAUCCAAAGAAUACUAAAGACUAAAGUUUGGGGCAAGGGGCGAAAAGAAGACAUGGGAAAUAAUUUUUUUAAAAAAAGAGUGCUAACACCUAUUUGUUUUUUUUAUAACCAAGUAUAUGAUAAAAAAUAAAAUAUUUUUUUUGCAGUUAUAGCAAAAAUACUCUAUUAAAAAUGAGUAACUUCAUUAUAGUUUCUCCUAUACCCCAUUUUGAAAAAUGCAGAUAAAUUGAAGAUCUAGUCGAGAUAUUCAAGAUGAGUUUAUGGUAGCAUGAAUCAUCAAAUAAUGAAACUCCUAGGUUUUUAGUCAUUUGGUUCGUGGUCCUAUGAAUCCUUUUGAAAGAAAGUUAUAUGCACGGUUAAGCUGAAAAAGCUAUUCUCUAUCCUAGAUUAGGAUGUACAUAAUCAUGUCUCAGUCUAACUCGACGCUAAGCACAAUGUAUCAUAUUUUCAUGCAAGUUGUCUGCUCUGGCUAAUAAUAUGACAUAUACUGGUUCCAAAUGCACAUAUCAUCAAAAUACCUAACUUCUUGAUCUGUCAUCCACGAACUGCUGAUUCCUAACGGUUGCGCAGUCACUUUGAUGUUCUUGUCCACCUUUAAUAUAAGACAUAAUCGUAGAUUCUAACUUAAAGACCCUUCUUUGUCCUUGUACAGAUUUAACAUGAAAAAACUUUUAUUCAGCUAAAAAACUGCCAAACAGACUUAAAAACAUACAAGGAUAUUAUUGAUACGGCUAGAACUGUCAAAACAACUCUCACAUUAUCACUGAAAUUAAAUUUACAAACACAAAUCAAAAAGAGAAUUUUGAAACUCUAAUUCUCCCCUCUCCUCCAAGACAAUUACUUUCCUCGUAAAGGAGUAUGACAUACUUUAGUAAACAAGAAAUAAAUCAGCUUGGUGUGACCUUAUUUUCUCGAUUUUAGAAGAGUGCUCUAAACCAACAAGAUUGUUUAUCAAACCAAAUAGACAGAACUUCUAUGCAUGUAUUCAUCUAUUUUGGAAUAGGAUGAGUCUAUUUCAAAAUUUCACAAAGCCCUCAAUUCUUAAGUACCUCAUGCCUUUAUCUAUUGGUUCUAUAUGGUCUUUAAGACAAUGCUUUUAGAUUUUGGUGGGUUUACCUCACGCCUCAAUUCUUAACCACCUUGUGCCAAUUUUCAUUAAGCUAACAUGUUGCAACUUCUUAUAUGGGGGUAUUCUAUUUAUGGGCGUAGAAUAUACUAAUUGAUGCUGGAGUCGUAGGUUUGACUUACGGUGCAUUUCUAUCAAUGUUUCCAUCUUUAGAACAACUUUUGAAACUUCAACUUGUGGAGAAUUUAUGUUAUACUUCAGAUAGAGUUGUAUAAGCAAUCACCACAUCAGAAGAACCCUAAAAGUUUCUAGAUUCAGUUAGGUCUAAGUUAGCGUAGGGAGAGGCAGAUUUCCAAAGUAAUUCGGAACAGAUCGUGCAUCCUUUAGUACUGAUCCUUUAAAGUAGUAAUUUGGUGGAAACCAAAGAUCUUGAGAAUCUAAUAAAUAUACAGAAAGAAAUAUUGCAACAUAAGUAAGAAUCAUUCAAUACAUAUAACCGCACUUCUACAUUAUAAAAAUAAAUUCAAUUAAAUGACCAUCUUUCUCAAAAUAGAGUUAAAGAAAAACCCUGUUAGUCAUUUUCAGCCCUGAAUAUUUUUUUAAAGAUCGAGACUUAAAAAGAUACUAAACUCAAAUUUUAAUUUACCUGUUUAAUAUUGAUAAAUAUGGACAUACAAUAUGUAAAAUACAAACUGAAUUCCAUUGGCAUAUAUCACAUACAAAAUGACUUAGAUGAACAUACAAUUUACUGUAUAACUACAUAAUCAAACUUUGAACAGAAUAUAUUAGUACCUUCUAAUUGAUAGUGCAUCCCAUUACGAUUAAGAAUACCUGAAAGGAAUAACGAACAAAUCCUUUAUAUAAGCAAUAAAUAAAGCAAAAGAAAGAGAAAAGAACAGCAUGCGGACAGAACAAUAACACAAUCUGUUGAAUUUUUACAAAAAGGGCCUAAUUUGUUCUAAUGCACCACCAAAUUCAAGUGUCAGUACUUCCACAAAGUUUAGUACAAGAUGAAUAAAUUUAUGCACAAAGAAUAGAGAAACACAUAAAUUCCCCAAUAAGAAACAAAUUUUGAAAAAUAAGGGACCAUACGAUGAUAUCAAACAGCAAAAGAAGAAUUAUAUUCGACAUUCUGGAGACUUUUUUAGCUGAUGACAAAUUAAACAAAUUACAAACUUGAGAAGAAUUUGAAGGCCGAAGAAUACUGAAAAGGGUUAGGCAGAAUUUCAGCCAUGAAAUUGAAAAUCUAAGGAAAACUGGAAAAACAUUUGGGCAAAAAUUAAAAGAAAACAUACCCAAAUUAGAUAGACCCAAUUUUGCAAUGAUAAAGAGAAGUGAAAGGAUAGUAUAAACUAAUAAAGAUUGUCGACAUAAAAGAAAAGCGUAUUCUUGCACCUAUUUUUUUGGAAUGAGAUUGAAAGAUGAUUCUAGAGUGUGUUGAGUGUGUUGACAG
rnacentral:lncRNA from 1 species